GGAAGGCUGGGUGAAAAAUGCUACGUGGCACAAGGAAGGAAAAAAUAAUUAGAGGGUAUUAAUUAAUAAUUGGACAAAUCAAGAUUUGACUAUUUGUUUUUUUAACUCCUGGAACUGAGAAGGACUCACUUCCUGUAGGCACACCGACGGACCGUAUAAAAAGGGCUCUCCCACAGUUGGUUACUACACAAGCAUCUGAUACUCCGAAAGCAGCUCAUCAGAUCCACUAGGAAAGCAGAUCAACCCUACCUGCUCUAAGAUGGCUCGGGGGAUGGAAGGAAUCCAGUUGGACGACUUGUAUCAUCAAGAGGAUGACAUCUUCCCCCCCUUUGACUCCUUCCGUCAAUAUCCUGGCUACUAUCCACCGGUUCAGCCUGUUGGCUGGCGGUGUCCCUAUGGCUAUGUCCAAAGGUGGUGGGGCCCCUUCAAUAUCCCAGGGUGUGGCAGCUGCUAUAUUCCAAUUUGUUGCCGCCGCCGCUGGUAUCCCUAAGCUGGUUGCCAGCCACGUUAAGGCCAGACGCAACUUUGACAGAACAUCCUGGAAAGAAGACACAAGAUUCUGACCCUCGGCUGAACAGAUGGACACAAUAUUCAGAUGUGCUGAGCGCUCUACAUACCCCACUGAAUUACCAAUGGGAUUUGUGAGGGCUCAGCAUGUCUCUUGAUUCAUGUGGUGCUUUGACUUUAUUGCUUUGGCUUCCUGAUGUUUGUGUGCAUGCUUCCUUUUUGGAACAGGCACCUUUUCUGAUAUCACUCCCCCCAGCCUUGUAAUUGAGCCGCCGCGAUACACUCAGAACCUCUGGCUCCUUCCUUUGUUUUCUCAUUAAAGUGUUCAGCAUAUCAUAGAACAA